GAUGAACGCUGGCGGCGUGCUUAACACAUGCAAGUCGAACGGGAAACCUUUUAUUGAAGCUUCGGCAGAUUUAGCUGGUUUCUAGUGCGGACGGGUGAGUAACGCGUGGGUAACCUGCCUUAUACAGGGGGAUAACAGUCAGAAAUGGCUGCUAAUACCGCAUAAGCGCACAGAGCUGCAUGGCUCAGUGUGAAAAACUCCGGUGGUAUAAGAUGGACCCGCGUUGGAUUAGCUGGUUGGUGGGGUAACGGCCCACCAAGGCGACGAUCCAUAGCCGGCCUGAGAGGGUGAACGGCCACAUUGGGACUGAGACACGGCCCAGACUCCUACGGGAGGCAGCAGUGGGGAAUAUUGCACAAUGGGGGAAACCCUGAUGCAGCGACGCCGCGUGAAGGAAGAAGUAUCUCGGUAUGUAAACUUCUAUCAGCAGGGAAGAUAAUGACGGUACCUGACUAAGAAGCCCCGGCUAACUACGUG
rnacentral:rRNA from 1 species